GGCUACCGACGUCCGACGGUGGAUUGUCGCCGCGCCCCGCUGAUUCUCAUCGUACUGCGCCCGCGCGACGCGACCUGCAAGCGGAGGACAGGUUUUUACCGUGGGGGCAGAGGGGCUCGAGGGGCUCCACACCACACGUCGUCCCGCGCGCCCUGCAGCAGCAAGAUCUGCUCGCCCGUGAAAGGUACGGUGUACUCGCGCGCACCAACGUGGCGGACUCGCACCGCCCGUCUGCCCUGGCAGUUGCGAGGCGCUGGGGCCGGACCGGCACACCCCCGGGGACCGGGUUCACGACUCACAGGCGCCUCCUCGCUCGGUAACGUCCCGUCCCCGGUCUGCCCCAUCCGGCGAAGAUGCUGCGACAGUGGGUGCACCCCCUGUGCAAGCAAAGGGUAGCCUGCUUCGGAGGAGUGUGUCCUAUACCGCCCAUGCGUACAAAAAGGCAAGCUUUUCUUGCAUGCAAGCUAAAAGGGUUUAGCUCUGAAUGUGGC
rnacentral:lncRNA from 1 species